CCUACGGGGGGCAGCAGUGGGGAAUAUUGGACAAUGGGGGCAACCCUGAUCCAGCCAUGCCGCGUGUGUGAAGAAGGCCCUCGGGUUGUAAAGCACUUUCAGUGAGGAAGAACGCCUGGUGGUUAAUACCCAUCAGGAAAGACAUCACUCACAGAAGAAGCACCGGCUAACUCCGUGCCAGCAGCCGCGGUAAUACGGAGGGGUGCGAGGGUUAAUCGGAAUUACUGGGCGUAAAGCGCGCGUAGGUGGCUUGAUAAGCCGGUUGUGAAAGCCCCGGGCUCAACCUGGGAACGGCAUCCGGAACUGUCAAGCUAGAGUGCAGGAGAGGAAGGUAGAAUUCCCGGUGUAGCGGUGAAAUGCGUAGAGAUCGGGAGGAAUACCAGUGGCGAAGGCGGCCUUCUGGACUGACACUGACACUGAGGUGCGAAAGCGUGGGUAGCAAACAGGAUUAGAUACCCCUGUAGUC
rnacentral:rRNA from 1 species